rnacentral:rRNA from 1 species
UACGUGGGGUGCAAGCGUUGUUCGGAAUUACUGGGCGUAAAGCGUGUGUAGGCGGCUCGCUAAGUCUGAUGUGAAAUCCCUGAGCUUAACUCAGGAACUGCAUCGGAAACUAGCGGGCUAGAGUUCGGGAGAGGGCGGUGGAAUUCCUGGUGUAGAGGUGAAAUUCGUAGAUAUCAGGAGGAACACCGGUGGCGAAGGCGGCCGCCUGGACCGAUACUGACGCUGAGGCACGAAGGCCAGGGGAGCAAACGGG